GGAGUUUUUAUAAUGUAUUCAUUGCGCAUCUGGUUCUUAUUGUUCGUAGCAGCCAUUUAUCCAUGUUCAUCAUAUAUAAUUCAUACAACCGAGUAUAUGCCUGCGGUAUAUGAUUAUGUGGAUCUAUAUCCAAAAAUAUGCAAUGAGAAUCAAACAAAAUACAACUGCAAUUAUCAAAGAUGUGCUGUUGGCAAAAAAAGUUGGAAUUCUUUGUGCGAAGGAGAUUGGGAUUCGUGUAAGUGCAAAAGCGACUACUGGUUGAAUUC
rnacentral:lncRNA from 1 species